rnacentral:lncRNA from 1 species
AAGGCAGGCAGGUCACCGGCCCUGCGCCCUGCUCAUCUCCCUCAGGGCCACCUCCAUGGCCAGGGGCAGGCAGAGGGCACAGGGGUGCCCAGUCACCAGGUCUCUCUGCUUCAUAUCAGUGGACCUGGGCUCUGAGGGGGGCCAUCAAGGCAUCAGGCUGGCCCACUCCGUCCUUGAGUCAGGGUCCUACAGACUGACACCAGGUGGGCCUGCAAGACCCUCAUCUGCAUGGUCCUCUCAUGCAGGGUGGGCCUGGGGAGGACCCAGCCCGGCUGAGCUGACUCCCAGCACUUCUCCAGGUGCAGGGGCAGCCUGGCAGUUGUCUGAAGACCCCGGGAUGCACUUAGGAGCUCAUCGGUGAGGCCCGGGAGCCGGCUGCUGGCAUGGGUGCUGUGGCUGCAGGCCUGGCAGGUGGCAGCCCCAUGCCCAGGUGCCUGCGUAUGCUACAAUGAGCCCAA